rnacentral:rRNA from 1 species
UACGAAGGGUGCAAGCGUUACUCGGAAUUACUGGGCGUAAAGCGUGCGUAGGUGGUUUGUUAAGUCUGCUGUGAAAGCCCCGGGCUCAACCUGGGAAUGGCAGUGGAUACUGGCAAGCUAGAGUGCGGUAGAGGGUAGUGGAAUUCCCGGGUGUAGCGGUGAAAUGCGUAGAGAUCGGGAGGAACACCAGUGGCGAAGGCGGCUACCUGGACCAGCACUGACACUGAGGCACGAAAGCGUGGGGAGCAAACAGGG